CUUAUACUCCCUCCGUUCGGAAUUACUUGUCUCGGAAAUGGAUGUAUCUAGAACUAAAAAUACGUCUAGAUACAUCCAUUUCUGUGACAAGUAAUUCCAAAUGGAGGGAGUAUUUU
rnacentral:pre_miRNA from 1 species